rnacentral:rRNA from 1 species
CGGGAGGCAGCAGUGGGGAAUUUUGGACAAUGGGCGCAAGCCUGAUCCAGCCAUGUCCGCGUGAGUGAAGAAGGCCUUCGGGUUGUAAAGCUCUUUCGCAAGGAAAGAAAACUUACUCUCUAAUAUAGAGUGAGGCUGACGGUACCUUGAUAAGAAGCACCGGCUAACUACGUGCCAGCACCCGCGGUAAUACGUAGGGUGCGAGCGUUAAUCGGAAUUACUGGGCGUAAAGCGAGCGCAGGCGGUUUUGUAAGUCAGAUGUGAAAUCCCCGGGCUCAACCUGGGAACUGCGUUUGAAACUACAAGGCUAGAGUAUGGGAGAGGGGGGGGUAGAAUUUCACGUGUAGCAGUGAAAUGCGUAGAGAUGUGGAGGAAUACCAAUGGCGAAGGCAGCCCCCUGGCCUAAUACUGACGCUCAUGCACGAAAGCGUGGGGAGCAAACAGGAUUAGAUACCCUGGUAGUCCACGCCCUAAACGAUGUCAACUAGUUGUUGGUGGAGUAAAAUCCAUUAGUAAC